GGCCAGUUAGCUCAGUCAGUUACAGCGUGGUGCUGAUAAUGCCGAGGUCGUGGGUUCGACCCCCAUUUGGUCC
rnacentral:tRNA from 1 species